rnacentral:tRNA from 1 species
GCCCGGGUGGCUCAGUCGGUUGGGCGUCUGACUUCCGCUCAGGUCAUGGGUUCUAGCCCCGUGUCGGGCU